UUUUAUAUGAGAGUUUGAUCCUGGCUCAGGAUGAACGCCGGCGGUGUGCCUAAUACAUGCAAGUCGAACGCGUUGGCCCAAUUGAUUGAUGGUGCUUGCACCUGAUUGAUUUUGGUCGCCAACGAGUGGCGGACGGGUGAGUAACACGUAGGUAACCUGCCCAGAAGCGGGGGACAAC
rnacentral:rRNA from 1 species